GACCCUUAUGACUGGUUUUGUGGUCCAGGGUCACGUAUGACAUGGAGGUUCAUAUGACCAGCCUUCGUCCAGCUGCCCAAUGUAUGCACGGAUAUUUUAUUUAUUAAGUUGCAAAAGUGAUGCUGCAUUAAACUGAAUCUUCAGCCAAGCAUCGGUUCUGUGACAUCAUGGGCUCGUGCUUGAGGACUCUCUCCACCUCACGAGACUCCGUGGAGAUCAUGCAUGCGCUGGUUCAGCAGGUGGUGUGAAGAUGAGGAGAUCAAGAAGCUCUGGGAUGAGAUGUUCCUCAAGGGUCCAGCGGACCAAACACUGCUGCUUCUGCUGGACACCAUCAGCUCCACAGGGUGUGACAUCACGAUCUAUCUAUCUGUCUGUCUAUACUAAUGAUGUGUUGUGUCUCUUUUACACACAGAGAGAGUGCGGGUCUGGAGCGAUGUGCAUCUGUACUGGAGACCUUCCUCUCUGCUGGUCGUCCUCAGGUGGUGUUGUGGUCCAGAUGCGAGGUUGGCGGAGCCUAUUCAGACUCUCCCCAGCUAAGAGAGACCAUUGUCAUCGUCCACCUUGCAGCUUUGCCCUCCAUUACCUGCAACCAUCUGCAUGCAAGCAAACACACCUGACGCCUUCCUACCACAGCAGUACUACCCGCUGCUGGCCGCCAGCAUACUGGACACACUGGAGAAGACAUGCCACGCUCUCAGAGACUCCGUUGUUAAAGUCUGUUCUUGGUUAUUUGGCUCUGGAUUUAGAGCGCAGGACACUGCUUAAACAGGUCCUUUGGAGUGUGUGUCAGGUCAGGUGUAAACGUCUCUUGAACAGCAGCUGUACGUCAGUAAAGUUCUACUGCUGUGUGUAGCGUCACUCAACCAUUCUGAAAUACAAGAACUACGGCAUGAGAUGCUGCAGUGCAUGCUGGGAGGUGUCCAGUGUCGCCUGGACAGCAAUAUUGAGCGUAUUCGACGGAUGGGAAUGGCUGUGGGCGAGUAUCUCAGUCACAAAUCAGACACAGCAGGAUCAGAAUUAAGCCAUUUGGACCUUUAAACAUUGUUCUUUACAAUGAAAACCUCUUGUGAUGAUGCAUUACUGAUCCGUACCAAACCUGAAAGCAUCUUGCAUUUGCAACUAACAAAAGUUUCAGAUGCGCCCAUCACAUUUCUAUUACUACAACUGUGAACUUGAGAUAUUUGUUUCAUUCUUUAACUCUUUCAAUGCUAAUGAAGCUGUUUUAUGUGUCAGUGUGAGCCAGAUGAGGAGAUCAGAGAGCUGAAGUCAUGAACAACACCAGCCUGAUACCUCCACCAGAUGGGCCGAGCUUUGCUGGAUUUAGUUUGGGCCGUGCGCUUCCUCACUGACCAGUAAGUUUGUGUUCUAGGAUGCAUUAUAUCACAUGCCUACAUCUAAUGCUCUCUCUCUGGCUUUAACUGUAGGAUGGUGCGGAGGGGCGUUAUGUUUGCGGUUUGUGCUGUGUUUCUGAGCAUGCCUGCUGAGAACUUCCUCACAGAACUCGGUGAUGACCUGAUGGAGACCAGAGCCUGGCUAGCAGAGAAUGACUGCGACGCAGACUGCAGGAGUUUGGCGGUACAGAGUUUAAUGCUGCUGGACAAAAACCUCAAAACGCAGCUGCAGAUCCCAGAUAUGGAGACCUGAGGAGCGCUGACAAUAUCUCGCACUCAUCUGGAGAAGAUUUUAUGAUCAUGACAUGCAUCCCUAAUUACUAUGGCAUUGUUCCUUGGAUUUCACGUAUUGUGUUAUUUUUGUACUACUAAUGUUUAGAUACUGUAAAAUAAAGAGCUUUUUGGGGAC